GCUUUUCGGUCACUCCAUUCGUGUUUCUCAAUUAGUGAACAUUAAAAAUGGUUUUGCUCUCGGCCUAAUAUUAAUAAAUAUAAUUUUUUCAGUAAUUUCAGUACAUUUGUUUUCUGUCAAAAAUUCGAAAAGUUAAAUUAUUUCAAGGAAUUUUUUCAAAUUUGUUGCUGGUUGCAGCCUAUGAUUUCGGUCUACACCAUCGUUCAAGUAGAGCUUUCUUAUGAUUAUACGGCGGUUGGAUGUAGCUUGGCGCAGGGCAUUUCAGGCCUGCUUGUCUAUUUCUUUCCCUCACGCCACUGAUCCACGAUGUGGUGGGAAACAGGAGCGACGAUUGCCCCCGACCCUGCCACGGAUACACGCAUGUAUAUUUAAGCAUGCCUAAGUUCGGAGCAAGAUGCCAGCACUUCCCAGUGUAGCCGCAAUGCUCUUGCGAACGAUCUGUUAGGGGUGCGUCGAAUCUUCCAUUGCAGAUUCUGCAACCUCCGAAAAGCCAGAAGCCGAGGAGUGUACAUCAGCAUCAGCUGCUACCGCUGCAGAUCCUGUGCCAAUUGUAAAGGAGGAAAAUGGCAACCUAUCGAUGUAUAGUACAAAAGGCCCGAUGAGCUCAAGGCGUUUACCCAUGAGACCAUCAAUGCUCAACGGGAAAUCAUCACCAUGUGUCCCCUGUUUGUGCAUGCUAAAUAUAUCAAAGAACAAGCUCCCCGCUCAUCUCUUUCUUUUAGAAAGAGACUCCACAACGAGCUGUGCAAAGUACCAUCUACUACGAUAUGCCAGAGGAGCUGCAACAUGUACUAGAGGAAUCAGAUGUGCAGUUCAUUGAGAGCAAGGAGUUGUAGGAAGCCGCAGGGCAAGAUCUUGUGCUUCCAUGGACCGCCUGGUUUAGCCAAAACGAACAUAGCCCAGCUCCAUAGCUUGUGGCCUGUACAAGAUUGGCAAAGGCUUGCAAGAAGGCCCCAGCUUUUUCUGCGAUUUUGUAGCAUGCAUAUACAGGAAAUUCAAGGUGCUGAGGUCCCGUAGAGUCUUGAUUAUCUCUUGGCUCAGCGCCUUGACCCCUUCGGAUUUUUUGUGGAUCGGUAGAUCGACAUUCUUUUUACCUCAACAAUGAGAAAAGGAGCUGCAUCGGCAGCAACUGCUGCUGAUGUAGACGUUUAAGCUUGGAGGUUGCAGACCAUCCUCGACCAUCAUUGCAUGCAUUGGAAGAUUCGGCGCAGCCUUAAACGAUCAUUCUCUCAUGUGUAGCGGUAUUGUGUUCUGAUUGCUUGGCGAAAUCAGAAAUGCCAGAAAAGGCAGGCUUGGUGUCCGAUCAUUUGGAUUGGGCAUCAGACUAGGAGUAGACAGAGCAGAACAAUUUUCGGAAAUGUGAAUGAAGAAAUCACGCCAGCCAGUCCUGCCAUUUCUACGUGCGAAUUCGUCAUCACAGCGGACUUUGAGGGUUUCAAAGUGUAUUCGACACUUAAUACCCAGCUGGGACCUUCGGCCAUUUCGGCUUUGAUAAAUUAUUAGCUGAUCAACAAAUAAUAAAGAAGAUAGUUUUCAUGACGUAAACU